GAGCGUAUAGCUCAGUGGUAGAGCGCAUGCUUAGCAGGCACAAGGUCCUGGGUUCAGUCCCCAGUACCUCCU
rnacentral:tRNA from 1 species